rnacentral:rRNA from 1 species
ACGAACGCUGGCGGCGUGCCUAAUACCUGCAAGUCGAGCGGACGAAUCGAAAGCUUGCUUUUGAUUCGUUAGCGGCGGACGGGUGAGUAACCCGUGGGCAACCUGCCCUGUAGACGGGGAUAACACCGAGAAAUCGGUGCUAAUACCGGAUAACACGAAAUGUCGCAUGACGUUUCGUUGAAAGACGGUGCAAGCUGUCGCUACAGGAUGGGCCCGCGGCGCAUUAGCUAGUUGGUGAGGUAACGGCUCACCAAGGCGACGAUGCGUAGCCGACCUGAGAGGGUGAUCGGCCACACUGGGACUGAGACACGGCCCAGACUCCUACGGGAGGCAGCAGUAGGGAAUCUUCCGCAAUGGACGAAAGUCUGACGGAGCAACGCCGCGUGAGCGAAGAAGGCCUUCGGGUCGUAAAGCUCUGUUGUUAGGGAAGAACAAGUAACGCAGUAACUGGCGUUACCGUGACGGUACCUAACGAGAAAGCCACGGCUAACUACGUG